rnacentral:rRNA from 1 species
CCCGCUGAACUUAAGCAUAUCAGUAAGCGGAGGAAAAGAAACUAACAAGGAUUCCCUUAGUAACUGCGAGUGAAGCGGGAAGAGCUCAAAUUUUAAAUCUGGCACCUUUGGUGUCCGAGUUGUAUUCUAGAGAAUCUUCUUCGGACACGGAGCAUGUACAACACUUCGUUAGGAGAGCGUCAUCGAGGAGGAGAACCCUGUCCAUGACGCGGACUCCUGACCGUCAUCAUUAAGCUCUCAAGACGUCGUCGUUGUUUGUGAGAACAGCAUCCCAAUAUGGGAUGGUUCAUUUCUCCUAGUACUAAUUGCCGACAGGAGGCCGGUGGAGAACUAGUGCCGUGAAGGAAUGAUGAGCACUACUGAGAGAGAAGAGUUCAAUACGCGGAGUAGUUGAUAAAAGGGAACCGUAAGUGAUCAGCGAUGUCUAAGCAUGCAUUCAGGAUGUCGCUAGCCGUACUUUUUCAUUACCGUGUCAACGUCAAUACUCGCAGGUGGAAAACCGGAAAAGGCAUGUGGCAACUUGGGCUCUGCUAUAGCCCUCUCCUGCAUACUCCUCCUGAGAUUGAGGCUUGCAGCUGGCCGUCUUGCCCCGCCUUUCUCACUGCGUGACGCCAUGUCCGAGUCUGACAAUAAUGACUUCAACCGACCCGUCUUGAAACACGG